rnacentral:sRNA from 2 species
AGCCCCAGGCUCCAAUUCUAUCCAGCUACUGGUAGGUCCAGGUCCACGACCAGGGGGCUAUUGAACUUCUUACCACCCCGGUGCGGCCAGCUCGUUGCCAUAAUCGCGGCGUUGACAAUACACGUCUCGUUCCUUCCCGGUAUAGUCCCGGCACCUUUUGCCACUUGCGAUUCAUCAUUUGCCCGCAGCGUCGGAGAUGACGAUCCCAAAGGACCAUCAUUUCGAAGACGAGGCUGUGUUUUCCCCGUGAGAUCGAUCAGGCAUUGCUUUUUGCUGUUGAGUGGAGGUAGUUCUCCGCGAACCGAACUCAGCUCUUUGAAUCUUUCACCACUCUGGACGCUUGACGCAGAUGCUCGCAACCGAGCGAGCCGUGUCUAUUCUCAUCGCAGUGGGACCGCGGCGGGGUGUGAGUCAAAACGAUAUCGGUAUCUAGCGGUAUCUUAUCCCAGAUGCCACAAGCUUCUUCGGAAGUGUAACUAAACGCCCAUUUCCCGCAGUAAGGGGUGUACGGAGAUCCAAAUAUUUUGAAUAUUGAUUGAGGGCCACCCGGAUUAGAUAGUCGGAUAACGGC